ACUAUGCAGGAAGGCUUGCAGUUUGGGAGCAGGAAGUCAGAGUAAACAAGCGUACCCAAACCCAGACAGGCAGGAGGAGAGGAGGAGAGGCGAUGGCGGACACGUGGAGGAUGGAGUUGCUUGACUGUGCGUAAUGGACGUCACACGACAGAAUCAACAACGUGGAGAACUUACAAGAGACAUACUUGUGGACUAAAGGGACAUGGAUAAUCAAGGACUGGACAGACUGUUGCCUCACCACCAUGGUAAAGAUCGACGCCACCGGUGAGUCUGAUGUGGAGAAAAAGAAAGGAUGAGAGGAGAGCGGGAGAGAGAGACAGUGGAUGUGAUGGACAUUCUCCGAAGAGUCUGGCCUUUCAGUAAUUGUGCCUUCAGCGGAGUAGAGGUCAGAGUUUUCUGUCCCUCAGUUGUUCGGAGGACAAAUACACUGGGGGCAGAAUUACCAUGGAGAUGCACUCAGCCUAGCCAAAGGCCCAACAGAGGGAAUUGUCUACAGAAUACUAGCAGUGAGAAAACUCAUUCCGAUGAUCUGGGUCAGAUAGAGCCGCUUCCAUCGACCACAGACAAUUCCAGCUCAAAACGACGACAGAACCUUAAAGAGAGAAGGAGAGAGGGGGUGGUGAGACUGCCUCAAGACAAGAAGCACCACGGAUGAUAA